UGGAAACGACUGCUAAUACCGCAUAAGCCCACGACCCGGCAUCGGGUAGAGGGAAAAGGAGCAAUCCGCUUUGAGAUGGCCUCGCGUCCGAUUAGCUAGUUGGUGAGGUAACGGCCCACCAAGGCGACGAUCGGUAGCCGGACUGAGAGGUUGAACGGCCACAUUGGGACUGAGACACGGCCCAGACUCCUACGGGAGGCAGCAGUGGGGAAUAUUGCACAAUGGGGGAAACCCUGAUGCAGCGACGCCGCGUGGAGGAAGAAGGUCUUCGGAUUGUAAACUCCUGUUGUUGAGGAAGAUAAUGA
rnacentral:rRNA from 1 species